AGAGUUUGAUCAUGGCUCAGAAUCAACGCUGGCGGCGCGCCUAACACAUGCAAGUCGCACGAGAAAGCGGGAGCAAUCUCGCAAGUAAAGUGGCGUACGGGUGAGUAACACGUGGAUCAUCUGCCCUGGAGUGGGGAAUAACGCUGGGAAACCGGCGCUAAUACCGCAUAUACCCGAGAGGGGAAAGCAGCAAUGCGCUCGAGGAGGAGUCCGCGGCCGAUUAGCUAGUUGGCAGGGUAAAAGCCUACCAAGGCUGUGAUCGGUAGCCGGCCUGAGAGGGCACACGGCCACACUGGCACUGAAACACGGGCCAGACUCCUACGGGAGGCAGCAGUGGGGAAUCUUGCACAAUGGGGGAAACCCUGAUGCAGCGACGCCGCGUGAGCGAUGAAGCCCUUCGGGGUGUAAAGCUCUUUCGGCAGGGAAGAUAAUGACGGUACCUGCAGAAGCAGCUGCGGCUAACUACGUGCCAGCAGCCGCGGUAAUACGUAGGCAGCAAGCGUUGUUCGGAGUUACUGGGCGUAAAGGGUGUGUAGGUGGCGCGCUAAGUUCCGUGUGAAAUCUCCCGGCUCAACCGGGAGGGUGCGCGGAAAACUGGCGGGCUAGAGUACGGGAUGGGAGAGUAGAAUUCCUGGUGUAGCGGUGAAAUGCGUAGAUAUCAGGAGGAAUACCGGUGGUGUAGACGGCUCUCUGGACCGUAACUGACACUGAAACACGAAAGCGUGGGUAGCAAACAGGAUUAGAUACCCUGGUAGUCCACGCCCUAAACGAUGCAUAUUUGGUGUAGGUCAUUCAGUUGAUCUGUGCCGGAGCUAACGCGUUAAAUAUGCCGCCUGGGGAGUACAGUCGCAAGGCUGAAACUCAAGGAAUUGACGGGGGCCCGCACAGCGGUGGAGCAUGUGGUUCAAUUCGACGCAACGCGAAGAACCUUACCUGGGCUCGAACGGCUAGUCAACGAUCGGUGGAAACCACGGUUACU
rnacentral:rRNA from 1 species